rnacentral:misc_RNA from 1 species
CUGAGUGUUGGUUUGGUAAACAAACCGCCUCCAACCCUUUGUUUAAAGAAAUUUACUUGUUUCGGCGGAUCGACUCCCGGUGCUUCUGCCCGGGAGCCCAUCGGUUCGCGGAUGCGUAUCCGCCGAACAAACAACUCUUGAACUUUUUGUCUAAGUAAAAUCUAAAAAAUUA